rnacentral:rRNA from 1 species
AACGUAGGAGACAAACGUUAUCCGGAGUUACUGGGCGUAAAGGGCGUGUAGGUGGUUUCGUAAGUCUGGCGUGAAAUAUCUCGGCUUAACCGAGGCAGGUCGUCGGAUACUGCGGAACUAGAGGACGGUAGAGGCGUGUGGAAUUCCGGGUGUAGUGGUGAAAUGCGUAGAGAUGUGGAGGAACACCAAUGGCGAAGGCAGCCUUCUGGGCCAACACUGACGCUCAUGCACGAAAGCGUGGGGAGCAAACAGG